AUCUGAAUUCCAUUACUCCUAAUAACUAUAUGACCGAAUCAUGACACAAUCUAAACGAGGAAUGAACAAGCCCUUUCAUUAGUUUCAUUAUUCAAGGUGAUGUCUUUGGUUCCAAAAAGUGACAAUCUAAAAAUGACUGAUGGUUAGGGGACAGUCACUAAAUGGUGAUUGUUUUUACAGAUCAAGUGAGAAUUGACCAAUAGAGGUGAAAAAGUAGGAUCGG